rnacentral:rRNA from 1 species
ACCUCGGAUCAGGUAGGAAUACCCGCUGAACUUAAGCAUAUCAAUAGGCGGAGGAA